rnacentral:tRNA from 1 species
ACUUAAAUAGCUUAAAAAGAGUGGAAUAUUGAAGAUAUUCAGGUAAUAUUUAUAUUUUUAGGUA